CCCCCGCCUUGGCAAUCGGCCGUUCCAGCCUCCAUGCCCUCCCCUGGAUUCCCCCUCCCACCCCCUGGUUACGACCUGGGCCAUCUUUAGCUGGAUGACUGCGCUGUCCCACCCAUCCUUGGGUCUCCCAGCUAGGAUAUGUCCAAUCCAAUCCACCCGCUGCGCUGGCCCCUGAGAGCUCUCAUAAAAUCAAACUCUGCUCAUGCAGCGUCCACCUAAAGGCCCCCAGUAGCUGCCGUUUCCUCGGACCCAAACUCUUCACAGCUGCAGCCAAACUUCCAGAAGCACCUGACUCGCCCGCACAGAUCCUUCCGUCCGGCCAAACCGGAAGUUGCUUUUUCUCUGCUAGGCCAGAGCCUCUGAGUCCCUUGGGCCUAGCUCUAGCUGUGCGCUCCCCACCCUGCCUAGAGUAUCCAGUGCCCUCCUGGUGCUCUGCAUCUAGAAGGCCCUGGGUGGUGAGCUGCCCUGCUCCCCCUGCACCCAUGCCGGGGCUGGAUUUUGGCUGAGGAAGAUGGAGCCUGGGGUGACUGUCCCUCAGGAUCUCUGACUGUGGGAGUGGCCGGCCCUCAGGCUCCUUCAUCCCACUCCAUCUGGUCCAGCCUCGCCUACAGCAAAACACCCACCAUGCACUAGAGAACAGAAUUUUUGCCUCAGACAUGGCUUCAGGGAAGUUCCAGGGGGCAGGAGGACCCCAGAGGAGACCAGGAAGGAAAGACACCAAAGGCCCCAAAGACAGGUCUUUGUGAGCGGGGCCCCUGCUCACAUUUGAGGACUCAGCACUCGGGUUCCAUCAGACACCUAAUUAUCCAACAUAUUAAAUCAAAUAAGGAUGAAUGUACUCAGUUUGAGUUCUUCUUCCAAAAGGAAAACUCUACCAGGAAUUGGUCCAGAGAUUCUUGGAAUAUUCUUUGGCUUCUCUUAACCGCCAAAGAGCCACUUCGUGACUGCUUUCUCCUUCUCCUCCUCCUCUUCUGCUUCUGCUUUGCUCCAUCAACCUUCCUCUCUGAUGAGCCAAGCCUUGGAUCCGGUUCCCAGGCACCGCUGAGGACGAUGAAGUUUAUGAAAAAACCAGCAGGCAGCGUGUCAUUCGCAGUUUCACCACUUGGUGGCGCCAUUGCCCCACUUUCCAUUUUCGGGCAGUCUGGCGUCCGGAGAGUUCCUACUGUCUUUUGCUAACGGUUUAGAAUUUGUUGAUGUUCUGAUGUUUUUCAUCCUUUGUUUCAACUCUGAUUCAGAUAAACGGUGACGCAUCGGCAA